UUUGAAUAUAUGCACCGGAGAAAUAUCUGAUUGUAAAGAAAAUUAAAAUAAAAAACCAAACAAAAAUGAACUAAAGCUUAUUUUCAUAACAAGCGUCAAGCUAAAUUUAUAGUCCAAUUUGAGCGAGGAAAAUGUAUUUAAUAUUUACAUCCAACGAGCUCGGCCUUCACGAAAAAAACAUGAGCUUGACAUUGUUGGUGUUACGAAGAGGUGGAUAUACUGGAGGAUAUAUUACUAUCAUGGCGAAAAAUUGUUGCGUCAUAUUGUAUGUAUGCAACGAAGAAAAGCAAAUACUCAUGUAGAUUUGCGGAAACCCGACGAGAGUGAAAGUUGCAACUACUUGGACUAUUUGAAAUUAUCUUACAUGAGAUGGUGAUACCUCAUGAGAUUACCGUUUUCGAUUUUGAGGAAUUGCCUGAGAAAAGUCUGUGGGACAAAGCUACCUAAUCAAUUCUACAAAUCUAAAGAGAGAAAACUGUGUACCGUGCAAUCCUAACAAAUUUAUGGAACGUACUUUCAAAGAAACUAACAACUUUGAUGAAUGUUAAUGGUUCUACGAAUCACUCUAGGUUCUAACUAUAGAAUACCAUGCUGUAAUUUUGGAAAAGUCUUGCUCUCUAUCUUAAAUACUACCAAGUUUCUCACAAUUCUCGUAGAAUAAAAAUUUUGAUUGAAUUUCAUUAAAGCUAUUUUAAUACGGCAGGCAAUUGAACAGGAACAAUAAAAAUUAGAUGGGAAUAAUAAAAUGAACCAUAAUCACAAGUCUGGCUGCUGAUUACGAUGCAUUUAAAAUAUAAAAGGAACAAACUGUUGAAAAUGAAAACAAAACAUAAAUAACAGAUUAAAACUAACA